rfam:Octopus bimaculoides Scaffold73065_contig_97, whole genome shotgun sequence.
GCGUCUUCUCGGCCUUUUGGCUAAGACCAAAGUGUAGUAUCUGUUCUUGGCUUAAUAUCUGAUACGGUCCCUAUAUAAAGCCAUCAAUAUUAAACUAAUUUUUAGAGCGAGCGAUGAGUUAGGGGCUUGCUCCGCCUAUGCCACGGGUUCAUCUGGUAUUGCAGUACUUCCAGGAUUCAUCCCUCCUCCA